rnacentral:rRNA from 1 species
AUUGAACGCUGGCGGCAGGCCUAACACAUGCAAGUCGAGCGAGCGGCGGACGGGUGAGUAAUGUAUGGGGACUGCCCGAUAGAGGGGGAUAACUACUGGAAACGGUAGCUAAUACCGCAUACUAUCGGAUGACCCAUAUGGGAUUAGCUAGUGGGGGGGGUAAGGGCUCACCAAGGCAACGAUCCGUAGCUGGUUUGAGAGGAGGACCAGGCACACUGGGACGUAGACACGGCCCAGACUCCUACGGAGGCAGCAGUGGGGAAGUUGGGAAAAUGGGGGAAACGCUGAUCCAGCCAUCCCGCGUGUAUGAGGAAGGCCUUAGGGUUGUAAAGUACGUUUGGCAGAGAAGCGGUAUCUGGAGAAUAAGCACCGGCUAACUCCGUGCCAGCAGCCGCGGUAAUUC